CAGUCGCCGCGGUAAUACGAAGGGUGCAAGCGCUAAUCGGAAUUACUGGGCGUAAAGCGUGCGUAGGCGGUGAGUUAAGUCUGCUGUGAAAUCCCCGGGCUCAACCUGGGAAUGGCAGUGGAUACUGGCUCGCUAGAGUGUGUCAGAGGAUGGUGGAAUUCCCGGUGUAGCGGUGAAAUGCGUAGAGAUCGGGAGGAACAUCAGUGGCGAAGGCGGCCAUCUGGGACAACACUGACGCUGAGGCACGAAAGCGUGGGGAGCAAACAGGAUUAGAUACCCCAGUAGUCCCUGUCUCUUAUAA
rnacentral:rRNA from 1 species